rnacentral:rRNA from 1 species
UACGUAGGGGGCGAGCGUUGUCCGGAUUUAUUGGGCGUAAAGAGCUCGUAGGCGGCUUGGCAAGUCGGGUGUGAAACCUCCAGCUCAACCUGGAGACGCCACUCGAUACUGCCAUGGCUAGAGUUCGGUAGGGGAGACUGGAAUUCCUGGUGUAGCGGUGAAAUGCGCAGAUAUCAGGAGGAACACCGAUGGCGAAGGCAGGUCUCUGGGCCACUAUUGACGCUGAGAAGCGAAAGCAUGGGGAGCGAACAGGA